rnacentral:rRNA from 1 species
GAUAAUUUGCCCUUAGGUCUGGAAUAACCUCGGGAAACUGAGGCUAACACCGGAUAUGAGAUUGGUACUGGAAUGUUCUUUCUCAGAAAGGUAACGCCUAAGGAUAAGUCGGCGGCUGAUUAGGUUGUUGGUGAGGUAACGGCCCACCAAGCCUAGGAUCAGUAGGGGGGAUGAGAGUCCUAGCCCCGAGAAGGGCACUGAGAUACUGGCCCUAGCCCUAAGGGGUGCAGCAGGCGCGGAAACUUUACAAUGCACGAAAGUGUGAUAAGGGGAUUCCAAGUGCUUUGUCUUCGGAUAAAGCUUUUGUCAAGUGUAAGAAGCUUGGCGAAUAAGUGGUGGGUAAGACGGGUGCCAGCCGCCGCGGUAACACCUGCGCCACAAGUGGCAAUCGCAAUUAUUGGGUCUAAAGCGUUCGUAGCCGGUUUAGAAAGUCUCUUGUGAAAUUGUUGAGCUUAACUUAACAGCGUGCAAGGGAAACUUCUAAACUAGAGACUGGGAGGAGACAGAAGUAUUCUAGGGGGAGCGGUAAAAUGUUAUAAUCCUUAGAAGACUACCAGUGGCGGAGGCGUCUGUCUAGAACAGGCCUGACGGUGAGGAACGAAGGCUAGGGGAGCAAAACGGAUUAGAUACCCGAGUAGUCCUAGCAGUAAACACUGUAAGCUAUGUGUUGCAUAUUCUUAGUGAAUAUGCAGUGCCUAAGUGAAGACGUUAAGCUUACCACCUGGGAAGUACGGUCGCAAGACUGAAACUUAAAGGAAUUGGCGGGGGCUCACUACAAGGGGUGAAGAGUGCGGUUCAAUUGGAUUCCACGCCGGAAAUCUCACCAGGGGCGACGGCAGAAUGAAGGUCAGAUUGAAGGUUUUACCUGACAAGCCGAGAGGUGGUGCAUGGCCGACGCCAGCUCGUGCCGUGAGGUGUCACGUUAAGUCGUGCAACGAGCAAGACCCAUAUCCACUUUUACCAUCAGGUCCUACGGGAUGACUGGGUACAAUAUGGAGACUGCCUUCGUAAGGAGGAGGAAGGUGUGGGCAACGUUAGGUCCGUAUGCCCCGAAUCUCCUGGGCUACACGCGCUCUGCAAUGGUGGAGACAAUAGGAUGCAACUCCGAAAGGAGAAGCCAACCCAAGAAACUCCAUCUUAGUCCGAAUUGAGGAUUGUAACUCAUCCUCAUGAAACCGGAAUCCCUAGUAAUCGGACUUCAUUACGGUCCGGUGAAUACUGUCCCUGAGCCUUGCACACACUGCCCGUCAAACCAACCGAGCAGGGUUUAGAUGAGGUGCAGUCUUGUUGAUUGCAUCAAAUCUAAGUUCAGUAAGGUGGGUUAAGUCGUCACAAGGUA